rnacentral:lncRNA from 1 species
CCAGGCCUGCUGCCCCAGGCCUCUUCUCCUGUGAGAAGGCAGCAACCAUCCCAGCUACAGUGCGUGCUGAUGCCCUGGAGGGCUGCUGGCCCGGGAAUCUCUGCCACACACCGCCAUGGUAGAGGUCCAGGGCCCCAGACCCCAGGAAACUUCUGGAAGGCCCCAUGCCGCUGACUCUCUGUGAAGAAAUCCAUUUGUCUCAGCGAUAAUGUCCUAACAGCACUUCCUGCUCACCGUAAGGAUGGCAGAAGGGAGGAAAAGAACUUGUCCACCCUUCAGAAGUUC